GGGUAAAGAAUCCGCGAGAAGCGGGAUUUCUUACACUGGCUGAUCUGUCCCAUCAUGUGCACUGAUUCAGCUGAAUCUUUUCUUCUGAGAAGUCUCAUGAUCUUUACUGACUAUGAGAGAAACCAGGACUUUUACUGUGAAAAAAUUAGAGUGUUUAAAGCAGGCCUUUACUCAGAUACAUUAGCAUGAAAUAAUAGAAUAGAACAUGUAAUUCUAUUUUAUUAAUUUCUAGAACUACUGUAAUGAUUAAUAGAGAUGAUCAAAGACAUCAGUAUUCAGCUGUCAGAGGUGAAAUUCUUGAAUUUGCUAAAGACUAACUACUGUGAAAGCAUUUAUCAAGAAUGUUUUCAUUAAUCAGUGAAUGAAAGUUAGAGAAUUGAAGAUAAUCAGAUACUGUUGAGUAGAUAAAAGAAAACUUCU
rnacentral:ncRNA from 1 species